rnacentral:rRNA from 1 species
AUACGGAGGAUCCGAGCGUUAUCCGGAUUUAUUGGGUUUAAAGGGUGCGCAGGCGGCCAUUUAAGUCAGCGGUUAAAUCGUGGGGCUCAACCCCAUUCUGCCGUUGAUACUGGGUGGCUUGAUUGCGGUCGAGGUUGGCGGAAUUCGUUGUGUAGCGGGUAAAUGCAUAGAUAUGACGAAGAACACCGAUUGCGUAGGCAGCUGACCAGACCGCAAGUGACGCUCAUGCACGAAAGUGCGGGGAUCGAACAGGAUUAGAUACCCUGGUAGUCCGCACAGUAAACGAUGAAUACUUGUUUUCGGCGAUAUAAUGUCGGAGGCAAAGCGAAAGCGAUAAGUAUUCCACCUGGGGAGUACGCCGGCAACGGUGAAACUCAAAGGAAUUGGCGGGG